GUGCGCGAGGGCCAUCCCUUCAUGGCUUUCAGACUCCAUCUUGAACAAGGUUACCUUUAUUCAUUUUCACAAAGGCAGGGAACGGCCGGGAAGGAUUGCCAGUAACACCAGAAGCUGGGAGAGAGGCCUGGCACAAUUCAAAGAUACACCUUGUCAAGAAGAUUCAAGAGAAUGGGAAGUCCUGUAAAUGUCUGGCACAUGAGUCUGCAAGAUUACUUUUUUUAGCAGAAUCACAAGUUCAGUGCCUGGGAGGCCUGGGAGGCAACUCCAGAGAGCACAGCCGAAGGGCAGGCCGACGGCCCAACACACUGCGCCUCCUCCCCUACGUCUGAAGAGGCCAACUUCCUCUCAGCUCCAGCCACUAGUCUGCUGUGUCUUCCAACUUUUCCCAAGAGAAGCUGAAAUUCCAGAGUUUCAAGGGAAAUUUCCAAGUACUGAAAAUGCUGCUGGGGCCAAACUCGGUGGCUCCUGCUUAUGGCCGCAGGGCCACGGUCACCUGGAACCCCCUACUCAUUCUUGGCCGCAAAAGUUAA